rnacentral:rRNA from 1 species
UGCGGGCCCCUCGGGGCCCAACCUCCCACCCGUGUUGCCCGAACCUAUGUUGCCUCGGCGGGCCCCGCGCCCGCCGACGGCCCCCCUGAACGCUGUCUGAAGUUGCAGUCUGAGACCUAUAACGAAAUUAGUUAAAACUUUCAACAACGGAUCUCUUGGUUCCGGCAUCGAUGAAGAACGCAGCGAAAUGCGAUAACUAAUGUGAAUUGCAGAAUUCAGUGAAUCAUCGAGUCUUUGAACGCACAUUGCGCCCUCUGGUAUUCCGGAGGGCAUGCCUGUCCGAGCGUCAUUGCUGCCCUCAAGCCCGGCUUGUGUGUUGGGCCCCGUCCCCCCCGCCGGGGGGACGGGCCCGAAAGGCAGCGGCGGCACCGCGUCCGGUCCUCGAGCGUAUGGGGCUUCGUCACCCGCUCUAGUAGGCCCGGCCGGCGCCAGCCGACCCCCAACCUUUAAUUAUCUCAGGUUGACCUCGGAUCAGGUAGGGAUACCCGCUGAACUUAAGCAUAUCAAUAAGCCGGAGGA